UAAGAAACACAUGGGAGUUUGUGGAUGCAAACUGAGAGUAUGACUAAUCCGUCAUUGACCAUUUGAACCUGUUGGAUAAUGCCAGCGUAGGGAGAGUGUAAAAGCACAUG
rfam:Bacillus cereus Rock4-18 chromosome, whole genome shotgun sequence.